AAAAACAAUGUUCAUAGUAUGUUUCUUAAACCCUAUUCAUGGGUGGAGCCUAAUUUCAAGAAAUUGAAAGAGAGUUGUUAUGUGAAUCUUUUAUCAGUACAGAUUACUUCACAACUUUUGAUUCGUUGUAGAAGUGUUAUGUAAAGAGAAUACUUAUAAUCUUUCAGCUUAUAUAUAUAAUAGCUAUAACUUGCUGGGCA
rnacentral:lncRNA from 1 species